CCCUUCGAUGUUCGGAGCUGCACGCGCGCUACACUGUGGGUGGCAGCAUGUUAGCUUGCCUCGCUCGCAAGAGUGGGGUAAUCGUUUGAAAAUCCCACGUGAUUGGGAUAGGGACUUGUAAUUAUUUCCCUUGAACGAGGAAUCCCUAGUAAGUGCAAGUCAUCAGCUUGCAUUGAUUACGUCCCUGCCCUUUGUACACACCGCCCGUCGCACCUACCGAUUGAAUGGUCCGGUGAAAUCUCGGGACGGCGGCUUGGUCGCUUGCGUCCGACUGCUGAAACUUGAUUAAACCAUAUCAUUUAGAGGAAGGUGAAGUCGUAACA
rnacentral:rRNA from 1 species